AAACUUACAGGAGUGCUUAAAUGGAGAGUUUGUUAGGGUGGGGCCGAAUCCGAAGUUUAGCCCCGUUGCUGGUUACCAUUGGUUCGAUGGAGAUGGCAUGAUUCAUGGAUUGCGCAUUAAAGAUGGAAAAGCAACAUAUGUUUCCCGUUAUGUGAGGACAUCACGACUUAAACAAGAAGAAUAUUUUGGAGGUGCUAAAUUCAUGAAGAUUGGUGAUCUGAAAGGGUUCUUUGGGUUAGUAAUGGUUAACAUGCAAAUUCUGAGAGCAAAGUUAAAAGUGUUGGAUGUAUCAUAUGGAACUGGAACAGGU